UACGUAGGUGGCAAGCGUUGUCCGGAUUUACUGGGCGUAAAGCGCGCGCAGGCGGUCCUUUAAGUCUGAUGUGAAAGCCCACGGCUCAACCGUGGAGGGUCAUUGGAAACUGGGGGACUUGAGUACAGAAGAGAAGAGUGGAAUUCCACGUGUAGCGGUGAAAUGCGUAGAGAUGUGGAGGAACACCAGUGGCGAAGGCGACUCUUUGGUCUGUAACUGACGCUGAGGCGCGAAAGCGUGGGGAGCAAACAGG
rnacentral:rRNA from 1 species